AUCACGGAAGCGGAAACGUGCCGAGAUCGGGAUCAACCGGCUGCUGAACGAGCGGGUGUACGGCGCUGCCUUCCCGCUGCACGAGGGCCCCUUCGAGACGCCUGAGUCUGAGGUCCCCGAUGAAGCCCUGAACCCUCGCCAAGUCCUCUACCGCUUCUGGGCCCAGUGGGGCUGCUGGUACCGGUACCAGCCGCUGGAUCACAUCCGCCAGUACUUCGGGGAGAAGAUUGCCAUCUACUUCGCCUGGCUGGGUCGGGUACCUGUUUGAUCACCCCGGGACGGUUUUCUUCAGCGUCUUCAUGUCCUUCUGGGCCGUGACCUUCCUGGAGUACUGGAAGAGGAAAAGCGCCACGCUGGCUCAUCACUGGGACUGCAUGGACUUCCAGGAGGAGGAGAUGGUGCGAGCCAGGAUCUCAUAGACCUGCCGACCCGAGGAGCGCGGCGCCGUCAGCAAAGUCCACCCUCGCCAGGGCUCACGCGGAGCAGGAACCCAGCAAGUCCCGGCUGGGCGCAGCCCUGUGGAGCUCACACACCUGGACCUUGCACCAGAGCCUUGGGAUGCUAAUGGGAGCCUUCCCAUAGACCUUUCUGGCCCAGCCCCCAGGGCAGGAGCUGCCCACGGCUCUGAUGCCCCCACAUUCCCCUUGGCUCAUGCUAGGUGCAGGGCAGAGGGAGCCUUCCUGACCCUUCCCCAGGCAAUCAGCCGUGCCCUGGAGCCUGAGAUUGGAUUCAAACACACGUCACUGGUUCUAGUGUUUCCCACCAGCUG